CGGUAAUCGGAAGUCUACUGGACGAAUGCGGGAACGUUGCGAUAUUUCCUGCUUAAUAUUUUCAGGCACAAUGAAUGAUAUUAAGGGCAGGUGCGCCACAUUGGGGGAAGAUGCAAAGAAAAAAUACAUUCAAGAGGCAGCAGCACUGAGGGCACAUGAGAUGGAGGCAAUUUGUGCUGUGUCUGCCGCAUCCAUUUUUAUGAUAAGAAGAAGAAUGCAA